rnacentral:rRNA from 1 species
AUACGGAGGAUGCGAGCGUUAUCCGGUUUUAUUGGGUUUAAAGGGUGCGCAGGCGGGCGAUUAAGUCAGCGGUGAAAGGCUCGGGCUCAACCGGAGCAGUGCCGUUGAUACUGGUUGUCUUGAAUGCGGUCAAGGCCGGCGGAAUGUGGCGUGUAGCGGUGAAAUGCAUAGAUAUGCCACAGAACACCGAUAGCGAAGGCAGCUGGCCGGGCCUGCAUUGACGCUGAGGCACGAAAGCGUGGGGAUCGAACAGGAUUAGAUACCCUGGUAGUCCACGCUGUAAACGAUGGACACUCGUUGUCGGCGACAGACAGUCGGCGGCCAAGCGAAAGUGAUAAGUGUCCCACCUGGGGAGUACGGUCGCAAGGCUGAAACUUAAAGGAAUUGACGGGG